AAAUAUUAGCCAAAAUCAACCUUUGCCCUUGAAUUUCAGCUAAAACAAUAAUUACUCUUCCUAAUUUAUCUUUAAUCUGUUUGAGACAUUUGAAUUGGCAGUGGUAGCUCAGCGGUUAAGGCUCUGGGUUACUGAUCAGAAGGUUGGGGGUUCAAGCCCCAGCACCGCCAAGAUGCCACUGUUGGGCCCUUGAGCAAGGCCCUUAACCCUAUCUGCUCCAGGGGCGCUGUAUCGUGGCUGACCCUGCACUCUGACCCCAGCCUAGCUGGGAUAUGUGGAAAAAGAAGAAUUUCACCAUAUAUGUGCAAAUGUAUAAUGUGUGAUAAAUAAAGAAAAUUAUUAAUUAUAAUUAAUUAUAAAA